rnacentral:rRNA from 1 species
AGUGAACGCUGGCGGUAGGCCUAACACAUGCAAGUCGAACGGCAGCACAGUAAGAGCUUGCUCUUACGGGUGGCGAGUGGCGGACGGGUGAGGAAUACAUCGCAAUCUACUUUUUCGUGGGGGAUAACGUAGGGAAACUUACGCUAAUACCGCAUACGACCUACGGGUGAAAGCAGGAGAUCUUCGGACCUUGCGCGAUUGAAUGAGCCGAUGUCGGAUUAGCUAGUUGGCGGGGUAAAGGCCCACCAAGGCGACGAUCCGUAGCUGGUCUGAGAGGAUGAUCAGCCACACUGGAACUGAGACACGGUCCAGACUCCUACGGGAGGCAGCAGUGGGGAAUAUUGGACAAUGGGCGCAAGCCUGAUCCAGCCAUACCGCGUGGGUGAAGAAGGCCUUCGGGUUGUAAAGCCCUUUUGUUGGGAAAGAAAAGCAGCAGGUUAAUACCCCGCUGUUCUGACGGUACCCAAAGAAUAAGCACCGGCUAACUUCGUG